AGAGUUUGAUCCUGGCUCAGGAUGAACGCUGGCGGCGUGCCUAAUACAUGCAAGUCGAACGCGAGCACUUGUGCUCGAGUGGCGAACGGGUGAGUAAUACAUAAGUAACCUGCCCUAGACAGGGGGAUAACUAUUGGAAACGAUAGCUAAGACCGCAUAGGUACGGACACUGCAUGGUGACCGUAUUAAAAGUGCCUCAAAGCACUGGUAGAGGAUGGACUUAUGGCGCAUUAGCUGGUUGGCGGGGUAACGGCCCACCAAGGCGACGAUGCGUAGCCGACCUGAGAGGGUGACCGGCCACACUGGGACUGAGACACGGCCCAGACUCCUACGGGAGGCAGCAGUAGGGAAUCUUCGGCAAUGGGGGCAACCCUGACCGAGCAACGCCGCGUGAGUGAAGAAGGUUUUCGGAUCGUAAAGCUCUGUUGUAAGUCAAGAACGAGUGUGAGAGUGGAAAGUUCACACUGUGACGGUAGCUUACCAGAAAGGGACGGCUAACUACGUGCCAGCAGCCGCGGUAAUACGUAGGUCCCGAGCGUUGUCCGGAUUUAUUGGGCGUAAAGCGAGCGCAGGCGGUUUGAUAAGUCUGAAGUUAAAGGCUGUGGCUCAACCAUAGUUCGCUUUGGAAACUGUCAAACUUGAGUGCAGAAGGGGAGAGUGGAAUUCCAUGUGUAGCGGUGAAAUGCGUAGAUAUAUGGAGGAACACCGGUGGCGAAAGCGGCUCUCUGGUCUGUAACUGACGCUGAGGCUCGAAAGCGUGGGGAGCGAACAGGAUUAGAUACCCUGGUAGUCCACGCCGUAAACGAUGAGUGCUAGGUGUUGGAUCCUUUCCGGGAUUCAGUGCCGCAGCUAACGCAUUAAGCACUCCGCCUGGGGAGUACGACCGCAAGGUUGAAACUCAAAGGAAUUGACGGGGGCCCG
rnacentral:rRNA from 2 species